UCUCCCUCCUGCAUGGAAGUCCCAGGGUACCACAGUGGUCUGUGAGCAGACCUCCCCACCAGAACAGUGACUACUGCUGGGGAUGAAGGCCCAGUCAGCUGUGCGGUGACGACGGUGCCCGCUGUGAUUGUAAGGGGAGGAACCUAUGUUUCAACUGCUGUCCAACUGAGCUAAGAAAAGUCCAGCAACAGCCUCCCCAACUCAACAGAAUCCAGCAAGCUGAGUGCUCAGAAACUGCCCAGGGGUGUGAAGACCCCUCAGAUCUUCUGGAAACCUGCGACCAUUUUCCAAGUUAUUUCUCUGGUUGGAGGAACACAUCUCAGAUGAGGAAACUAAGACUCCGAGGGAUUGAAGGAUGUGCCCAGCCUUCUGCUGCUUCCUGGCAUGUGUUCAGAAGCCAGCUCUCCUGGCUGCAAGUCUGGACUUGUUAAUUAGAAACUUCCUUCAUGGAGAAUAUUCAUUCUGCCAGUGUGGCUCUCUGCGUGCAUAUGUGAAUAAAUACUCAAGUUACUUUUAGGUAGGUUAUUGUUGCUGAAGUUUUCUUGCCAGCC